GAUGAACGCUGGCGGCGUGCCUAAUACAUGUAAGUCGAGCGAACAGACGAGGAGCUUGCUCCUCUGACGUUAGCGGCGGACGGGUGAGUAACACGUGGAUAACCUACCUAUAAGACUGGGAUGACUUCGGGAAACCGGAGCUAAUACCGGAUAAUAUAUUGAACCGCAUGGUUCAAUAGUGAAAGACGGUUUUGCUGUCACUUAUAGAUGGAUCCGCGCCGCAUUAGCUAGUUGGUAAGGUAACGGCUUACCAAGGCAACGAUGCGUAGCCGACCUGAGAGGGUGAUCGGCCACACUGGAACUGAGACACGGUCCAGACUCCUACGGGAGGCAGCAGUAGGGAAUCUUCCGCAAUGGGCGAAAGCCUGACGGAGCAACGCCGCGUGAGUGAUGAAGGUCUUCGGAUCGUAAAACUCUGUUAUUAGGGAAGAACAAAUGUGUAAGUAACUAUGCACGUCUUGACGGUACCUAAUCAGAAAGCCACGGCUAACUACGUG
rnacentral:rRNA from 1 species